AAAUGCGAUAAGUAAUGUGAAUUGCAGAAUUCAGUGAAUCAUCGAAUCUUUGAACGCACCUUGCGCUCCUUGGUAUUCCUUGGAGCAUGCCUGUUUGAGUAUCAUGAAAUCUUCAAAGUAAAUCUUUUGUUAACUCAAUUGGUUUCUACUUUGGUAUUGGAGGUCUUUGCAGCUUCACACCUGCUCCUCUUUGUUCAUUAGCUGGAUCUCAGUGUUAUGCUUGGUUCCACUCGGCGUGAUAAGUUAUCUAUCGCUGAGGACACUGUAAAAGGUGGCCAAGGUAAAUGCAGAUGAACCGCUUCUAAUAGUCCAUUGACUUGGACAAUACUUUUAUGAUCUGAUCUCAAAUCAGGUAGGACUACGCGCUGAACUUAAGC
rnacentral:misc_RNA from 1 species